GUUGGGACAGCAGGAGUGGACACCGCAGGAUCUAGCCGGCCCUGGAGGGCACCUGGGCCUGGGGACGCGCGGCCGCUCUGGGCUGUGGCUGACCCCGUGGAGGUGGCCUGGCCGGCGGCUCCACAAAGCGGGUGGGUCAUUCCUCUCCCGGGCGUGGCCUUCGCAGACCACCGGGCUGAACAGCCUGGGGCGAGGCCGAGGAGACCCGGACUGGCGCCAGCCUUGGCUCCAGGAAGAUGCCCCGGGGCAGAGAGAAGGCUUUUUGUUUUAAACUCCCCGGAGGCGAUCCCCAGGGAGGGGGCAGGCGGUGGCCUCUGAGCACUGCGUCCCCCUGGUCACCUGGAACCGGGGGACGCACACACCUCCAUCCCGGGGAUCCAUCUCCGGGGCUUCAUGGGGCCGGGUGCGCCCAUCUAGCUGCCACCCACCGUCCAGAGAGCCCAGAGACCGAGGUCCCAAAGGAGCCUCUGACCGAGGACAGAGGGGAUCCCCCCUAAAGAGGUUUGGGGGAACUUAAACAGGUGCGGGGUGAUGGGCGGGGGUCGUGGAACGCCCUGCAGCUCCUGUCCCCUGGCUGGGCCCACGAUCGGGGUACCCAUCCAGCAGGAUCCCAGGUGGGACCGGGAGGGGGGGCAGGAGGAGGGCUGGGGUCCCGACCCCCCCCUUUACACACCGAGAAUGGGGGAGGGGCGGCGGGAUUGACAGUCGGUAAUUGGGUAACUGGAGGCGGCUUCUCCGGCCCCGGCGGCCCCGCCACCGCGACGCCGGGCCCCUGACGUCACCCGAUUCGCCAGGAAAUGAACUUUUUAAUAAUCCGAGGAGGGAGGAAAGCCCUCGGUCCCCGUGGCUUCGGGGGGCGCCGGGCCCAGGCUCAAGAUCCUCGGGGCGCGCCCCGGUCACCCCCUCCCAGGCCAGCACCAGGCUGGCCAAAUGGGGGCGCAGGCUCGUGGCUGGGGCCUCCUCUCCUGCCCGUGCGUCUGGAGUCUGUUUGUCCGAGGCCCCGGCGCAGGUAGAGGCACGGGGCUGGGGGAGGCAGAGCUCCGUGGAGCUGGAAACCCGGCCGGAGGGGACCCUCCAGGCGCCCCCCGGCCACCGGCUGCGUCCUUCCCGAUCCUUUCCAUUCCGGAGAGCGCGGGGCCUGGGCUGCUUGGAAUUCCGUUCCUCCCCGAGAAGGGCGCGCGGGGGCCGGGCAACAGGAGCGCAAGGCCGCUGGCUCCGGGCCUCGGCGACCCAGCGUGGCAGGUGAGUGACCUCCGGGACUCCAGGUGCGCGCUCCCCGCCAGGCGCUGGGUCUGGCCCGAGCCCCACGCCUGUGUCCCCUCCUGCAGCUCCCGAUCCUGCCUCCACGCGUAAAAUGAGAUCGCCACGGAGCUUGGAGCCCCUUUGGGCCUGAACAGGAGCCUCUCCAAGACCCCCACGGCCUGGGGACACGUCCCCCCCUUCUGUUGUUCUGCAAGGCCACCGAGCUGGAACCAGGCAGGGACUCAGCGGCGGGAAGCUGUCCCCGCCGCGGGGCGGUGAUCGCCGGAGCCGAGCGGAAGCGUCUCGCCCCGGCCACGAUCGCAAACGGAGGUGGGCAGCUCGGAGCACCCGGGAAAGCAGGUAAUGCGCCUUUAUUUUAUUUUAUUUUUUGUCCCCAACGUUGGGUUUCAAUGAUCCUCCCGAUCUGGGGUGCAGGGGACAGGGGGGUGCAAUUUCAGCUACAGGAAUGGGGUCUCGGUCCCUCCGAGGGGAGGGGGAAAGGGGAUCGGCUGGUCCAGGUCCCCUCUCCAAACCUCACCCCAAGCGCUGUCGCCGGCCUGGCAGAGAGCAAAGCGCAGGAGGAGAUUCAAUUACCCCGAUCGGCAGCUCAGAAAAUCGCAGCCGCUUAGCCGGGCGCUUAGGCGACGCUUGAGGAGGGGCCUCCCGAGACCCGCACCGGCCCCGGCUACCCGCGCUCUGGGCGCAGAGCGAAUCCAAAGAACAAGGGGAUUCCGCCAGGUCCCUGGAGACCCUUGGAGAUGCCUUUCUGGAAACUGCAAGCAGCCAGCUGGCCCGGCCUGAGCCUCCCCCGAGGUGUGGACUCCUGCGUUGGAUGCGGGAUCGCUGGGUUUUCCAGCCAGGAAGGAACCCGCGUGGGACAGCCAGGUGCCACGCCCGGUAGCCAUAAGCCGAGACGGCCUAUAAACUGGGGGCCUGCGCUCUCCAUGUAUGCACGAGCCAGACGGACCGACGGACAAUCUUCCAAAGCCUCACCCGCUAGGCCUGCCACACAGUUGUGCCACUUCGAGUCUCCAGCAAACCUCCGGCGGCGAUGGCCAGCCAGGUCAGUCCCCUGGAUCAGCCCCGGGCUCCGGUAUUGAGGUGACCGUCCCCCCCUGUCCCGAUCAGAGCAGAUUCAUUCCACUUUAUGCAUCGGAUGAUGGUGUCCACGGGACCACUCCAGAGGGAUAAAAUCCUCCUGGUCCAUUUUUGACUUUGGUCUUGUUCGAUCCUGAGCAAAAAUGCUGCUUUUGAUGGCACUAAGGAGCUGUCACGUUCUCUAUACCGAGACAAGAUUUUUUUUUUCUUUUUCCCGGAGACUGAGGAAAGUUGGCUGAGAAAAAAAUGGAAUUGGAGAACGGCCCUUUUCAAGGGAUUUCCCCCCCCCCCCCCCCGAUUGGCCCCAGGGAUGGUUCUACAGGAGAGUCCAGGGCCCCGACUCAUCCAGGCCCGGCUCUAGAGCAGGACCUCGCUUCUACAAAAAGGCUGCCAAAUGCCAGACCCGGUCACUACUGCCCAGGUCUCCCACUUGGGUCCAAAUCCCCUCUGGGCCCUUUGUUUAAACCUCACUCAUCCGAGGCGGCCCCUUUGGGACCAUAAGUUGGCCUUUUAAUUUUUCUAGGCUUUUCCUAAUGAGCCUGCAGGAAAGGUGUGUGUGUGGGGGGGGGGGUUCAAGGAACCCCAUUAUCUCCGCAUCUUUCUUUUUUCUUUUCUUUUUAAUUUUUUUUAGGGACUUUCACUUGGCCACACUGCCAAUAAAUCUCGAAAGAUCGUGGGGAGGAAGUAGGGUCAUUAGUAAGCUUCAGAAGUCCCCCUAGACCGGGUACUCAGACCAGCCAGCCCUGCAGAGGUUCCCCGCAAGAGGGGGACCAGGAUUCGAGCACCCUCUUUUUUUUUUUUAACAAAUCAGGAGGCUUGCUCUUUCUGGGGUCCUGGCCUCCUCUUUCACCCCCACUCCACCCCACCCCACCCUCAGUGUCCUCUUCCUGGGCCUCCUUAGGAAGCGGGCUCUGCCCUUCCAGACUGAUUCCUUUGGAGACUAGAGACCGGGGCGGACGGUCUUAGUGGACCUCAACGGCCUGAACCCGAGGCACCUGGGGAGAUUCUAGGUGUCCUUACCCGGUUCCAACCUCCACCUCCUGAGGACAGGGCGGCCACCUGAGACCUGCGGACAAUCCCCCUGCGUUUCUAACCUCCUCCUCCUAACAGCUCGGGUGCUACCCAGAGCCCCUGGCUGAACAGACCCUUGGCAACUGCUAAAUCCGUUUCGUUAGACGCCAUUUGUUUGCAAUUCGUCAACCCUGCUGGGACACGCUCUCCAGACGCCUGGCCAGUCGCCUUCACCCUACCUGGUUCCUGAAUCCUGCUUGCUCUUAAACGAAUCCCAGCGCGGGAUGCUGCGUAGACCCGGAGCCAGAUGUUCCCAACCCCGGACAGAUGUAGCUAUUUUUUUUUUUCUUUUUUCCAAAACCAACGAAAUUUGUUUUUCCUUGCUUGCUUGGGAAAGAUGCAGCCACCAAAUCCGCGGGGACCUUUCCUUUGGCAGCUGGGUCAACUCCGCCCUCCCCAUCCAAGCCUGGCCUCUCCACCGGAGCUGAUUCUAAAGGCCCCCGGGUCCGGCCUCCUCCGCCUCCGGGCUGCAGAUCCCCCGCGCCCCGCGGGGAUUGAAAUGCCACAAAACGGAUUCUGACUCCCUCCCGGCUUGGGACAAGGGGGGGAGAGACUUCCAGAUCGGGCACUGUCCCCCACCUGCACCCCCCCCAGCCACACUGGAUAAAAGGCCGCGGGGUGCGUCACGUGGGGGCGCACGCAGGAGCGAGCCGGGUUAAGCCGCGCAAAGCCGGCGCACGGGACCAGCCGGCAGGUGCAGCCGCCGGCUCAGCGGUCCCCGGCUCUGGCGCAUCGGCUGCAGCGGCCCCGGGGUGAGGGACCCGCCGAGACAAAGGCUCCAUCUCCUGGAACCGGGAGGGGGAGCGCUUCGCGGAGCUCUAGGGAAGGCUGAGCUCUCCAGGCCCUGCGCUCUGAACCAUGGCGAGGCAGGAAGGCCCCAGGCGGGCCUGCUGCUGUCCCCAGGUCUCCAAAAAAAAAAAAUGCACCUGGGGACAGCCAGAUCAGGCCUUGGGAUUUGAAGUUAGAGCCGCUGGCAGAUCCAGGAAGAGCCCCAAACGUAGGGGCCACGGGGCGCAAAGGAUCGGGUGCCAACCCCGGAAUUGGAAAGGCCCGGGACAGGCGGGUGGCCUUGGAGGGAACUUACCCCGGUGAGUCGGUGAGUCGCAGUGCGCGGCGCCCCCAGGCGGAUGGGGUCCGAGCGGAUCUGGGAACUCGGUGCGGUGCGCUGCGUGGCACCCGGGGCGCGCGCGGAGUGGCAGCGCUCACCAGCCCAGGCCAAGAGGCGCGCCCAGCCACCGCAUGGUGCGCAUCCGGCUGCUUUUGUCCGCCUUAUGCGCGACCCAAGCGGGUGGGGUGGCCGGCUAGGGCGAGCGAGGAGCCUCCACGGUGCUGGCUCGCCACCCCCGUCGAGUUCUUCCCUCCCUCCUGGCCCGCAGCGCGGCUGGGUUUUAUUUGGACACCCCUCCUCCCCCCCGGGAGGGGUUGCUGGAGCGCCGCAGGGGGGCAGGAGAGUGUCCCCGGGCUCUGCGUCCCAGUCUGCAGGGUCCAGUCGCCAGCCUGGCCGGCCACAGGGCCACUAGACACUCGAAGCGCACACACCCUUCUGAUGCACGCUCCAGGCCACUCCCGCCCUCUCCCGGGCGCACACACACACGCGCGCCCCGGCUCUUGAUCCCAGGGCACAGCCUCCCAUGAUGGCUCUCUUCUGAAAGUCUCCCUGGGGACCAUCGGGGGACCAUGGGCACACACACACACACACUGACCCACGCACGGCCACAGUCGCUUGUCUUCCUUCUCCAAUCCACUCCAACCAGUGUCCACACGGACACUCACACGUGCGUGGGUACCAACGUGGCUCAGUGGCUAUCCCCCGAAAGGGCGAUCUGGGUCACACCAACACAACACAAAUGUGGGUGCAUCCACUCAAAGGUCCCUCCACACUCUGACACACAGUCACACACGACUCCCAAGCUGCUUUGGUGAAGUAGAGAGGAUAAGCCCCCCCAGUUUCCCACUCCGAAGAGGGACCUGAACAUUUGGGGAAUGGAGUUUGUGGAGUUUCCAUCUCAGGCUACAGAAGGCGAAAAAUGGAGCAGGGACGCUUGUCCUUAGAAGGUUAGGGAGGGAAGUCCCCUGCCCAGAGGGCUUCUCGGUUUGUCCUAGACGGAAAUCUAGUACCAACAAGGGCCCGAUCAAUCUGCGCACCCCUCCCAUUUCAGUCACUUAGGGACACAGUGGCCUUAGGUUCAAAGAGAAAGUGCUUUGCCCUGGAAGGACUGGGAGAAUCCAUAGUCAUGGGCCCAGGUGUGCCCCAGAGAGGGAGUGGGUCUGUCCCCUCUCAUCUCUAACAUUCAUGAGUCUUUCUGUUUUUUUUUUGGGGGGGGGUACCAGGGAUUGAAUCCAGGGGUGCUUAACCCCUGAGCCCCAUCCCCAGCCCUAUUUUGCAUUUUAUUUAGAGACAGAGUCUCCCUGAGUGGCUUAGGGCCUCCCCAUUGCUGAGGCUAGCUUACAACUUUCGAUCCUCCUGCCUCAGCCUCCCGAGCCACCGAAAUGAUAGUGAUGGGUCUCUCUCCAAAUCUGGCGGUAACUCUGUCGCUCCAAGCACGCGACUCGCUGUGUCCUGCUUGAGUCUGCACGUCUUGGUCGGUGCCCAAAAAAUAUUUGCAAAACCAACGAUAGUAAUGCAUCCAUUUCUUCUUGCGGGUUCCUGAGAGUUUGUGUACUGGGCCGUAGGUCACUGAGUGACUUUUUGUUUCUUUUUUUUAGAGCACUGCUUUUUAUUGUCACCCAGGGGAAAGUCUGUCUGAGGGACUGGGAGUGUGUCCCUGUGCCUGAGUUUCUGGGAUCAGAAGCAGGCGGGUCUUUCCAAGUGUUGGUAAAUGACUUGAGUGUCCCCCUUUGUCCACGUGAACCAGUUUUGCCUAGGCGCCCUGAGUGGACAGAUCUGUGUGUGGUCAUUACAGUGUGGCUCUCCAUGUGUAAUUCUGCUUAUCGAGGGUGUUUCUGGGAACCUGGGUGUCUGUCUGUCUGUCUGCCCGUCCUGCCUUGAACAGCGUUAAGUAUCAACGUGGAACUUUGAACGGGGGGGGGGGGGGGGGGCGCUGGGAAGGGGCGGGUGUAGGCAGAUGCGUCUCCACAUCUGUGUCCAUCUCUAGUAGGAAAUCGAUGGGGACUGGGGGUGGCCUGUCUCUGUAUCUGUGGGGACGGUUUCCCCUGAUGAUCUAGGGGCUGGCUGGGUCUUGGAACUGGGUGUGUUUCUCUGCCCAGGGCUACUCUCUCUGGGUCUGGGACGUGGAUGUCCCUGGGUGACGGAGUGGUCCAUCCUGAAGGCGCAUGAGGGUAUCUGCACCUCUCCAAACCACCAGGGCACACAGCCAGCUGAGCUCCAGGGUGCCAUUUGCCCAGGCCCUUUCCGUCUGUCUGUGGGAGGGGGAGAUGAGCUGAUAAGGCUUAUCUGCCGUCGCCAGCACCAUGCUGAAUAACUGCUCUAAUGAGGUAGUCUCCCUGGGACCACCGGCUUUCAACCCCACCCCCCCUCCCUGUCCCUGCUGGGGAGGGCCAGGGUCCUGGAGCUCAGAGCAAAUCACUCUGGGGACCCCAGGUGACUGCAGGACCUUUUCUAGUUGAGUCUUGUUCCCUUGCAAGGGGGGGGGCAGGUUCAAGGUCCAGCCCCCCCCCCUCAUCCCACACCACUGUCCACCUCUUGGGCUGGAUGGUCGCAGUCUGUGGAUUUGAGUCUGGCCAUGGCCUUCAGAGGGCCGGUGGGAGGAGGAGGCUUUGGAGAAGUCAGUCCAGAGUGGGUUCGAUGGAGAGAAAUUGAGACUCAGAAAGACAGGCAGCCCCAAGGACAAUUAUUAUUAUUAUUAUUAAUUUUUUUUUAAGUAACAGAGAGGGAUGGGGGUUAGAGGCUGGGGGGACCCUCCGAAAUAAAUGACAAGUGGCAGAAAGGAUCAAAGAGACGGGGACUAAAGGCAGAGAAGCUGUUAACCAGAGACAGACAGAAACGAGAAAAAGAUACAGCCAAGUUCCGGUGGUGCCUGCUUGCCACCCCAGCAGCUGGGGAGGCCGAGGCAGGAGGAUUGCAAGUUGGAGGCCAAUCUCAGCAACUUAAGAAAGGCCCUAAGCAAUUCAGCAGGAUUUUGUGUUUAAAUAAAAUAGUCAAACAACAGGCUGGGAUGUGGCUCCGUGGUGGAGCACCCCUGAGUUCCAUCCCGAGUCCCCCCCUUCCAAAAAAAGAAAAAAGAAAAACAUGUAGAUAGAGGGGGAAGACAGAGGCUGUUCAGGGUCCCAGGAAAGAAGCGAAAAGGGACCACAGCAAAGAGACAGAGGAGAGGCCACACAAAGGAAAGAGGAUGGUCUUGGUGGAUGGACAGACACACAGAGACCCGGGGCUGGGCCUGGCCGGGGGCGCCAAGGAGAGCGCAGGAGGCUGAGUCUCCAGAGGAGGCCGGGUCAGGAGCGCAGAAGUCGUGCGCCGGGCGGGGCACCCAAGAGGCGGUGGCGACAGCGGGCAGGGGGGGUCCAGCGCGGGGCUGUGCCGCUGUCCGGGGUAAUUUUUCAUCUCGGCCGGCUAAUCUUUGUUCCCGGCGAAGAUAAUGAAUAGCCAAUCGUUAUCUGCCCGGCUCCCGGAGGCUGCCCGAGAAUGGGGUUGUACAGGGUUGGGAAUUGUUUCCAAAGUGCCGCGGAAUAAAUGGUGUUCCUUAUCUCUGCCUUCCAGAUUAUCAGAGCCCUUUCAGAGAGCGCACAACAAAUGCGCCCGCCAUCGAAUGCAGCAUUUACCACCGCAGAUCCGCGCGCUGAUGGGCAGCCAGAUAGCCAUCCGCGGGGGGCACCGUGGAGCGCCCUGCGCCCAGCGCGCCUCCAGCCUGCGCGCAGGGGCCACCCGAGUGUGCGCUCUCUCCGGGGGAGAGACUGUAGCCGGGCAGCCUUUGGAAGGCCAGCGACGGAGUGGACGCUCAGCACACGGGGGAGACGUGGGUAUGCGUGUGCCAGGGUGUCAGACAUGUGUCCUGCAAGGAAGCGCACGUGUCCCAACCUUGGUGGCCCCGAGGAGCGCCUGGAGAUGGCCUUGGAAAGACGCGCGUGGCGACGGGCCUGGCACGCACGUGUGACUCAUGAAGCUGGGGUCUUUGGGCAAGCCAGCUCCUGUCUGGAAUUUGCAGCUUUUCCAUCCAUCCUUUCAGCAAACACUUAUGGAGCACCUACUGAAUGCCAUACUGACCCUGGGCAGCCCCCCCCCCAAAAAAAAAAAAUGAUUGUGCAAGCUUGCGUUGGCAUGCCUCAAUGCAUGUCACCCCUUCCAGGAUGCUUUGGAGGGGGGACACACACCAGAAAGGGGCGUGGCAGCCGCGAGGGAGCGUGGGGUGCGCGCUUGGUGCGUUUUGGGGGGGCUUGCAAGCUGCAGAGCAUGCGCAUCUGUGGGAGGUGAAUGCACGUGUCAGCGUGUGGCUGGGGUGUGCACCCGGGAAGAUGCGUCCUGAAAAAUGCCUCUUUCAGCCCAGGUGUGCCCAGGUGCACAGCAAGAGGGCGAGAGGACAGGCCUGACCGGGUGCUUGCGAGUGUAGACUCCUACAGGGACAGAGAGAGGCGUGCGCGGGGAUGGGGGUGAGGGGGGACAGUGGGAUGUGCCAUGUUGGUGGCAGAAACUGGCUACGGAGCCAAGAGGAGCGAGUCCAGGAGUUUGGGGACACUUAUGGACACUUAUGGAGCACCUACUGUAUACCAUACUGACCCAGGGGUCCUGGUCCCCACAGCCUCUCGGCUGUAAACCCUGAAGCUGGGGCAAGAGAGCCCCAGAGCCUGGCUGCCUGAGGUCCCUGCGCCGUGAGUGACACGCGCCGCCGACAAAGGCUGUAUUUUUCCAGCCCUGCGCCCCGCCCGUGCGCGCGCGAUGGUCCCCAUGGCGACGCAGAUAGCGCCUCAGCCAUUUUCCCUAUCUCCCCCGAGUCUAUUAUACGGCGGGAUUAGCUCAUCUCCAGGCAGGUCAAACCCAAAGUCACCCAACCUGCAGCGCCGACCCCGCCCCCCCGGGUCCCUCCCCCUUCUCGGGUCGCGUCUGCGCUUGGAGACCCCCGGGCCGCGGCCCAUGAGCGAGCGCACAGCGCCACCUGGCGUCCCCAGUGGACUCCGCGCGAGCCAUCUGCACCCGAAGGAGACCAGGGGGAGGGGGUCCCUUGGUCCAGAAGCAGGAACUUUUUGUUUUGGGCCCCUGGGUCAGUAUGGUAUACAGUAGGUGCUCCAUAAGUGCUUGUUGAAAGGUUGCAUGGAAAGACCAGAAAUUCUAGACAGGAACUGACCAGCUUCAUGGGUCACCAAAAACCCAUUUCUGAAAAGGCACCCAGUUGACUUUAGAAUAAAAGCCAAACUCCUUUGGAAACCUACAGAAGAACUUGGUGACAUCCCGGGUGGGUCCCCCAUUUCCUUCUUCUGUCUCUCAGGGACUGUGUGUGGCCUUCCUUCUGUUCAGAUUGGACCCAGGACCACUCCACC
rnacentral:lncRNA from 1 species